GGGUGCACAAGAGGGUGAUCGACCUCGUCAGCUCCCCCGACGUCGUCAAGCAGAUCACCUCGAUCACCAUUGAGCCCGGCGUCGAGGUCGAAGUGACCAUCAGCGACCAGUAGUUAUGCUACCCCAUGAUAUGUGCCUUUAAAUCUUUUUACAAGGGUGGAGAGACACCAGCGUACCAAGAUAUUUUGAAACUUUCUGUAGUAUGAGAACUGGGUUUUGUAUGACUAGGUUCUUUGCUUCGUGAUUCUAAGUGCCUACUGUCCUAAAUUAUCUGUCAAUUUUCGUUCGUUGCCCUGUUGUGUGUGCCGGGUUGAAUGUUUAUACAUGGAUCGCUAUUUAUCUAUGAGAUUUGGUAACGUUUCCUUGAUAUCUUCAGUGAUUUGUGUUUGACAGUGUGGAAGAUUUUCUGAACUGUAUUACAUUGAAAUAUACAAAACAGC
rnacentral:lncRNA from 1 species